UAAAAUAACACACAUACAUUUCAUUCCCCACCAAAACACUAUUGUAUUGCGUUUAAUUAACUUAAAAUGUGUCAUGUUCAACUAUACUUAAUAAUCAGUCGUUAAACUAACGUAAAGCAUUUAAUUUUGCGAUUCAAAAAACCGGAAGUGACGAUUUCCAUCGUAUUGGAUGAAGACGGCGCGAAAGAGGGAAGGUGGUGAAUGGCGUCAGACGAGGUUUUUGGAAAGCACUUUGAAACGUUUGUCACUUUCUUUGAUGAAGAAAAGAGAUUUGCCACAACUUUGAGUAAUAACAGCAUUUUAAGAAAUGUGGAGAUGUAAAAUUUGUGGACUUGCAGUUUCUGCAAGGUCUAAAUUACUAAAACACCACAGAGUGCAGCACAGACAUUAUGGUCAUAGUCAGAGGUACAGUAUCCUUGCAUACAUUCAGACUGUCCAUGUACAUUCAAGACAUGGAAUGCUCUACUUAUUCAUCUGAGUAGAAACCAUGCUGCAAACUCUGGAGAAAAUGACAGACAAAUGUCCACCUUCUCUUCUCAUUUGUGUACCUGCAGGAACCUCGCAUCAGAAAGAGAUUACUUUAUUCACAUAAAUAGUCAUUUAAAGAGAAAUGAAACUGUCCAUUGCAUGGUUUCUGGUUGUAAUUUCCAGUCGAAUGUUUGUGGAACUUUUAAUUCACUCAGACACAGAAAACACAACCCACAUUCACUUGAGGAUUUUAGGCCUGGUGUAGUUACUGUACCAUCUCUGGACAAUUACAAGAGCCUGAUGAGGUUGAAGAUAUUGGCAGUAGUGAGACCAGUGAUGCCUGUUUGAAGGAUGACUGCAAU